rnacentral:rRNA from 1 species
AGAGUUUGAUCCUGGCUCAGGAUGAACUCUGGCGGCGUGCUUAACACAUGCAAGUCGAACGGAGAUUAUACGCAGAGGCGAUUUCGGUCAAAUCAUGUAAAAUCUUAGUGGCGGACGGGUGAGUAACGCGUGGGUAACCUGCCUUACACUGGGGGAUAACACUUAGAAAUAGGUGCUAAUACCGCAUAAGCGCACGAAGCCGCAUGGAUUUGUGUGAAAAACUCCGGUGGUGUAAGAUGGACCCGCGUCUGAUUAGCUUGUUGGCGGGGUAACGGCCCACCAAGGCGACGAUCAGUAGCCGGCCUGAGAGGGUGGACGGCCACAUUGGGACUGAGACACGGCCCAAACUCCUACGGGAGGCAGCAGUGGGGGAUAUUGGACAAUGGGGGGAACCCUGAUCCAGCGACGCCGCGUGAGUGAAGAAGUAUUUCGGUAUGUAAAGCUCUGUCAGCAGGGAAGAAAGAAAUGACGGUACCUGACCAAGAAGCCCCGGCUAACUACGUGCCAGCAGCCGCGGUAAUACGUAGGGGGCAAGCGUUAUCCGGAAUUACUGGGUGUAAAGGGAGCGUAGACGGUUAAGUAAGUCUGGAGUGAAAGGCCGGGGCCCAACCCCGGGACUGCUCUGGAAACUAUUCAACUUGAGUGCAGGAGAGGUAAGCGGAAUUCCUAGUGUAGCGGUGAAAUGCAUAGAUAUCGCGCAGAACUCCGAUUGCGAAGGCAGCAUGCCGGCUCCACACUGACGCUGAGGCACGAAAGCGUGGGUAUCGAACAAGAUUAGAUACCCUGGUAGUCCACGCAGUAAAACGAUGAAUGCCUGGCUAUCCGGGGGGACUGAACCCCUGGGUGGCGAAGCGAAAGCGACAAGCAUUCCACCUGGGGAGUACGCCGGCAACGGUGAAACUCAAAGGAAUUGACGGGGGCCCGCACAAGCGGAGGAACAUGUGGUUUAAUUCGAUGAUACGCGAGGAACCUUACCCGGGCUCAAACGGGGAGUGACUCAGGCAGAGACGCCUGUUUCCCACGGGACACUCCCCGAGGUGCUGCAUGGUUGUCGUCAGCUCGUGCCGUGAGGUGUCGGCUUAAGUGCCAUAACGAGCGCAACCCCCGCGUGCAGUUGCUAACAGAUAACGCUGAGGACUCUGCACGGACUGCCGGCGCAAGCCGCGAGGAAGGCGGGGAUGACGUCAAAUCAGCACGGCCCUUACGUCCGGGGCGACACACGUGUUACAAUGGGUGGUACAGCGGGAAGCCAGGCGGCGACGCCGAGCGGAACCCGAAAUCCACUCUCAGUUCGGAUCGGAGUCUGCAACCCGACUCCGUGAAGCUGGAUUCGCUAGUAAUCGCGAAUCAGAAUGUCGCGGUGAAUACGUUCCCGGGUCUUGCACUCACCGCCCGUCA